UUGACACGGACUCCUGCUGUUGAUGGUGGUCCCGCUUCCAUGGAAACUACAACCAAGUGAUGGAGAGACUGGAAGCUUUUUUAAAAAUGCAACCCUAUAUACAGGUACUGUGAUUCUGCCCUCAUCCACACAUUAUAAAGGGGGCACCACAAGUGCUGAUGACCAGCGGAAUGAAAACCACCUCUUGCAGACUCUGCUGUUGGAUGUGUACUUAAAUUCCCCCAAUGCCACUGCGCUUCAUCAGACAUGCCUGGAUCCAUUCAGAUUCAUCGCAUUAGAAAGAACAUCCAAAUCCAUCUGGAUUUGCUGGAAUACAGCCUACCAUUUCUGCCUCACACUAAGUGUUCUGACAACAAAAGGCAACCUUGAGAAGCACAGUUGUUUACGAUGCUACAUGUCUACCACAACUCAGACGCUGUCAGUCCUUCCAUGCAUAAUAUGAACCGGUCAGUCAUGGAAUCUGCUUCCCAUCUGCAUUUAGCUAGCCCUCAGUUAAUGUUCUGUCAACACUAAUUGUUAUAUGACUGUUAGAAGUUCAAAGAGGUACUAAAGAAUAGUGAAAGCAAAAGUCAUAAGAAUAUUCAAGCCCAGGCACUUCCUCAAUUACAACUGCCUUCAAUGUUAUUUAGUAGUGUUUCUACUAUCAGUAAUACUGGAUGGAAACUAGCCAUCAUGACAAUAUACAAUGGAAAAUGUCUACAGAGACAACAUUUUCUUAAAUUCAGUUUUUUCUUUUGGCUCCCUAACUUAUUUUUCCUUGCUUUGUAAUUUUCAGAGUGUGCCCAAAAGACUAACCUGCUCACUCCCUUUAAAACAACACUGCAAGUCUGAUGUUGGAACCAUGGUUAAGUCACAUCCCAUAUCAGUGCCUGCUUAAGCCCCUGCUUUAAGAUCUGCUUCCAAUCCAGUUAGCCGCUAAUGCACACCCUGCCACCCACAAGGGAGACUCAGGUUGAGUUCCAGGAUUCUGACUUUGGCCUGAUCCAGCCCGGGAACCUGUGGGCAGCUGAAGAGUGAACUAGUAGAUGGAAGAUUGCUCUGUCUCUGAAUCUCUCUGCCUUUCAAAUAAAAUGAAACUAAAUAAAUAAAAAAAUUAAAAGCUGGAGACAGGUGCUGUGGCACAGUGGGUUAAACAGUUGCUUGCAUUGCCAGCAUCCCCUACUGGAGUGCUGGUUAAAAUCCUGGCUAUUCCACUUCUGAUCUGGCUUCUAGCUGAUGUGCCUGGGAAGACAGUGAAAGAUGGUUCAAGAGCUUGGGCCCCUACUACCCACAAGGGAGACCCGGAUGGAGCUCCUGGCUCCUGGCGUCAGGAGCCAUUUGAGGACUGAACCAGCAGAUGGUAGAUUUCUCUCCUGUCUCUGUCUCUCUUUCUCUGCCUUUAAAAUAAAUAACCAUGUUAAAAAAAUUAAAAACUAUAACAACAUUACCCUGCAGUAAUAAUAAACUC